rnacentral:lncRNA from 1 species
GGAAGUUGAGUUGUAGCAGGGUGUUGCAUUCCCUCUUCCUAGAGGUGUGCGUAACAAUAAGCUACAGCUAGCUAGCACUGCAGUGCAUAAAAUGUGAUGAGUAGUUGACUCAAAGAGAGAGACAAUAGUUUAACAGUUUUGAACAAGAUUGAGAUAGAGUUGGUCCCUUUUUUUCACUUUCACUUAGCUAGCAAAUGCAGCUAGCUAGUUCAGCCUACUCAAACACCCUGCUCAGAGGGAUGCUAUGUUAGCUAGCUGGCUAUGACUAUCCAACACAACACUGGAACUCUUCCAAGUCAAGGACCUGAGCCCUAGGACCAUGCCUCAGGACUACCUGGUAUGAUGACUCCUUGCUUUCCCCAGUCCACCUGGCCGUGCUGCUGCUCCAGUUUCAACUGUUCUGCCUGCGGCUAUGGAACCCUGACCUGUUCACCGGACGUGCUUGUUGCACCCUCGACAACUACUAUGAUUAUUAUUAUUUGACCAUGCUGGUCAUUUAUGAACAUUUUAACAUUUUAACAUCUUCACCAUGUUCUGUUAUAAUAUCCACCCUGCACAGCCAGAAGAGGUCUGGCCACUCCUCAUAGCCUGGUUCCUCUCUAGGUUUCUUCCUAGGUUUUUGGCCUUUCUAGGGAGUUUUUCCUAGGGAGUUUUUCCUAGCCACCGUGCUUCUUUCACAUGCUUUGCUUGCUGUUUGGGGUUUUAGGCUGGGUUUCUGUACAGCACUUUGAGAUAUCAGCUGAUGUACGAAGGGCUAUAUAAAAAUAAAUUUGAUUUAAUUUGAAAUUUGAUCUUACAAUAUUCGAUGAUGACAUUUCUCUAAAACAGGCUAUAGGCUACAUGUGCACCACCAAGUCAGAACAGUAGGCUAAGUUAUGAGGGGGAAAGGGACCAAAUUAUUAGGGUGAGGCACAUGGGCUACUAACAGCUUACUGCACAACAUACACUUUGUAUUACUUUCUUAGUGGGUGAGGCACAUGGGCUACUAACAGCUUACUGCACAACAUACACUUUGUAUUACUUUCUUAGUUACAGUAUACAUAUCUGGCAUAUUGCAUAAUUUAUGCAGCAGCAUACAAUAGAUUUUUGCACUCAUCUUGUUGUGCUGUGCUCACUUGAACAGGAAGGUGACUCGGCGGUCAUUCUUGUGGGCAAAUUUUGUCAUCAAACUUUGUCAUCAAAGUCUGACAUUCUCUUGAUUUAUAGUUUUUUUUCAAGACAACUGACUUUUUAAAGGCUCAACUCGAAAAAUAACAAGGUUGAAUCAUGACGUCAGUGAUCUUCAUGUCGGAGCUCAGAAGAGGCCCAAGUUCCCGACUUGGAAUUCCGAGUUGGAUGACCAUUCAAAAUGUAGUGUCCCCAUGAGUGACAGAACACUGAGCCAAUUACGGCGCAGAUAGAGAACAUUACCAACCCCU